AUGACAAAAUAUUUCAGGGGGGAGCUACUAAUUACUUUUACGUGUUGUUUGUGGCUUUUAGUAAAUCCUUCACCUUUCUUAUCAGCAAUACUAGAAAAUUUAAUGUUUUUGCAUCCAGCAAAAAGGAUUAAACUCAUUUUCUUGGAUUUUAACACUUUUUAUUCAAAAUUUACACGGAGUAUCGCUGUUUCUAGUUCAUUUCCAAUUGUGAAUGGUAAAAUCGACCAAGAAUCGUCAUGCUACAUAAAAAGAAAAAACAUUUAUUUAAAAUAUCGGGAACAAUUUAAGAAAGAUUUAACGAGUUUAAACCUUGGUUUGAACAAGAAGGCGAUCGAUCGUCAUGUCCUAGUUAAUAAGAAAUUACUAGUUCGUGAAAGGCUUGAAGCUCUACUUGAUAACCACUUAGAUUUUAUUGAACUUUCUCCUCUUUCUGGCUUCUAUUUGGAAUAUGGAAAAAUUGAAAGAGCUGGAAUUUUUUGUGGUAUUGGUCGAGUAUCUGGGUGCCUUACUAUGAUACUGGCAAAUGAUGCAACAGUUAAAGGUGGUGCUGCAUAUCCCAUAACAGUGAAGAAACAGUUACGUGCACAAGAAAUUGCUUUGGAAAGUAGUUUACCAUGCUUGUAUCUGAUUGACAGUGGAGGAGCUUUUUUACCACUUCAGGCAGAUAUAUUUCCUGAUGAACAGCAUGGUGGAAAAGUUUUCUAUAAUCAGGCCAUAAUGAGCUCUCUUAAAUCACCUCAAAUUUGUGUAGUAUGUGGAUCUUGUACCGCUGGAGGUGCAUACAUUCCAACAAUGGCUGAGAGGACGGUGAUAGUUAAUAAAAUUGGUACAAUUUUCUUGGGUGGACCACCAUUAGUGAGGGCUGCAACUGGUGAGGUGGUUACUGCAGAAGAUCUUGGAGGUGCAAAUGUUCAUUCAAGUAUUAGUGGCUGCACAGACUACUUGGCAAAAGAUGAAAAAGAAGCCUUUUCUAUGACACGUUCUAUCUUUGCUUCAUUGAACUCUCGUUCACUGUCCUAUUUGGACUAUGAAGAACCAUUGUACCAGUUAAAUGAUCUUGGUCCUCUUUCAAUACAUCAGCACAAUAUUCUCCCUAUCUAUAAGAUUAUUGCAAGAAUUGUAGAUGGAAGUAGAUUUGAUGAGUUUAAAGCAUUGUUUGGUUCUACACUUGUGACGGGAUUUGCUACUAUAAAAGGUAUACUUGUUGGAAUUCUAGCUAAUCAUGGUCCAAUGUCAGCAUCAGCUGCUGCCAAGGGAGCAAAUUUUGUUGACAUCUGCAAACAUCACAACAUUCCUUUAGUUUUCUUUCAAGAUACUCAUCCUCAUAUUAAUAAUGAUCCAGACAUGUUAAAACAACUUGGAAAAAUGAUCUCUAUUGUAUCUUGUGCUCAGGUUCCAAAAUUACCAUCAUUAUGGGAAGAUCAUGUGGACCAACAAGCUAUGCUAUGUCGAGGUUUGCAGCCGUCUUUCUUGUAUACUUGGCCAACAGCACAAAUACAUGUUGAUAAUGUACAGAGACGAAGUGAAGAUGUAAAUUUGGAAGAAAGAUAUAAAGAUAAAACUACUUCAUUUUAUUCAUCUGCUAAUCUUUGGGAUGAUGGUAUUAUCUUACCAGAAGAAAGUAGAGAGGUUCUAUCGUUGAGUUUAAAAGCAUCAAUGGAAAACCGUAAUUUGUCAAAGAAUGAAUUAAACUCUCCCGUCGUGCGAAUGUAAUCUUUAGAUGAAGUUGUAUUGUAGUAGAUUUGCUUCAUCGACAACGACAUUCACAACCAGAACUUCCAGCAACUGUGAGAGUUUCCCAAGAAAGAAUGCUUGAUUACUAUACGAAAAAGCUUGCAGAACAAAAAAUUGACAAGAAAGACCUGAAAAUGAUGAAAAAAUAUAAAAUGGUGAAGUUUUUUGAAAAACGAAAACUCUGGCGCCAACAUCGAGCUGUGACAAAGGAGUUAAAAGAAGAUAAUGUUGAUGUUGAAAGGUCAAAAGAACUACAAGACUUGCAAAAAAAGAUUUAUCAAGAUCUGAAUUAUAUUGAGUAUUUUCCAAGUGACAAGAAAUACAUUUCACUUUUUCCUGUUAAAUCUUAUUGUAAUGAGUCCGUUAUCUCUGAACAAGCAUCCCUCCAUCAUUAUAUUAAUGAAAAAGUUAAUGCUGGUGAACUACCACAAGCUUCAUUCAGUGACAAAAAGAUAUGUAAAGGAAGAAAUGUUAUAUUAAACGAAAGUUGUAAAAAAACAAGAAGACAUGACAGGAAGAAAAAUUUUGCUAUAGAUGAUGAUUUUUUCAUUGAUACAUGUGGAGAUCAAUAAUUAGACAUUAAAGUUAAUCUGACAACAGGUAAAUCAUAUAGAAUGAAAAUCCAUUAAAAGCUUCUCACACACAACUGGGAGCUGCUGCAGCUUAUCCGGUGGCAAGCUUGACAUUUACACAUUUAAACAACUAAUAUAGAUAUCAUUACAUCGCCCAAAAUAGCCUUGCUAGUGAGAGGACUAAAAUAUUACUAAAAUACAAAUGUCUAUAGUGAUUUAUCCUGACAUGCAGGUGCUCUUGUCCAACUGUGUGUGGACGCCACAAGAAAAUGUGCUUGAUAUAACUUAUACCACCUAAUCAAGCUCCAAGAAGAAAAAAUUUUCCACCUUUUCUUUCCUCAGUCAGUGGAAAGUGUUACACAUUGAUAAGAAAAAGUUUACUGAAAGUUUUGAUCCUGCUAUGUAAGUUUCAGAUCAUCAUUAUUGAUUUCUUUAGAAAUAAAGUUUUUAUUGUGAGUGAACACAUAAAAACUUACAUAACUGGACUAAAUAGUCAGGCUGGUUUUGCCACUGCUAAAAGUUUUGUUAGACAUUGUAUAAUGAAUGCAUCAAUGAAAAUGUCCUUCACUUACUAUUAUUUACGAACUGCUUCUCAUAAAUUUACUGUUAAUAAACUGUUAUGAUGGUCAUUUUUUAUGGUUUUUACAUAAUAGCUUUCCAUAUUAAAUAUUUCAAACUAGAUGUGUUAUUUUUACCAAUGCAAAGUUAGUAUUUUUGACUUUGACCUUUAUUUAACAUAAAAAAAACAUGAAAUUGACUUAUGUUUCUGACUUUUCUGUUGGUAGUUUAGCUGAAUAAAAAUAUUUGGUUUAA